AGACUGCCUAUUAGAAUGUUUGCCUAACCACAAAUGUUCUUGCCACUUUGCUACCUCAGAAGUCCUCUUAUUUCCUGCUCAAGCUAUGAACGGUUACCAGUAUAAUGUCAGUGAGCUGAAGAGUUGGCCAAAUGCACAGGACAGAUGUGGGGUAAGGAUGCUUUCAGCACAGCGAGACGACGACAGCCAGGCCUCCCGACGAUGAGCAGUCCCACAGACCAAGCACGAAGCAGCUACAAAAAGGCCCUUUGUUCACCACGCAAUGGCCAUCUUUUGUCAAUCAGACCCCAGAAGCUAAGGUGUGUGAGAGAGGGUAGGUUUGUGUACGUGAGGUACAGAUGCCCUCUGAGGCCAGAAGAAAGAGACAGAUCCCUUGGUGCU